AUGCCCGCCAUGAUGGCACAUCUCCUGCCAUUAGCGCUGCUGCUGCUGUUCCUCCUACAAAUCAAGCUCGUGGCAAUAAGCUCGCUUCUCCCUUCGGCUGGUACGUUCGCCAACCACACCACCAUAAUACCUGUUCGAUGCUUGCCGGACGAGGCGUUGGCACUGCUCCGGCUGAAACUUUCCUUCACCGCCUCCGAUGAGUCCGUCGUGGCCUUUCAGUCGUGGAAGGCCAGCACGGACUGCUGCAGUUGGGAGGGCAUCCACUGCAGUGGCACUAGCGGCCACGUCAUUUCUCUGGAUCUGGGUGAUCGUGGCUUGGAGAGUAACCAUCUCCAUUCUGUGCUCUUCGAUCUGACCUCCCUCAGGUGUCUCAACCUGGGUGGAAACAACUUCAGUCUUUCCAAAAUCCCAUCCACCGGGUUUGAGAAGCUCACCAGUCUCACCCAUCUCAACCUCUCCAACUCCAACUUCGCGGGACAAGUGCCAGCCUAUAGCAUUGGCCGCCUCACGGAUUUGGUCUCUCUCGACCUGUCCUUCAAUUCUGAAAUUAUUGAGCUGUUUGACGCUGGUUACGUCGUUUAUGGUGAUUGGACCAACCUGCAUCAGCUCACACUGCCUAACUUUACAGCCUUGGUUGCCAAUCUUACAAAUUUGGAGGAGCUCCAUCUUGGUAUGAUUGACAUGUUCGUUCAAGGAGACGAGUGGUGCAAUGCUCUAGCCAAGUACACACCAAAUCUCCGUGUUCUUAGCUUGCCCUUUUGCUGGCUCACUGGCCCCAUUUGUGGAUCGCUCGCUGGUUUGCAAUCACUAUCUAUUGUCGAUCUCCAGUUCAAUCGGUUGACCGGUCCAAUUCCAAAAUUCUUUUCCAACUUCUCCUCUUUGACUGUUCUCCAACUAAGCUAUAAUCACCUUGAAGGUCGUUUUCCUUCAGUAAUCUUUCGACAUAAAAAACUAGUGACUAUUGAUCUUCGCGCUAAUUACAACAUAUCAGGUAAUCUACCGAAUUUCUCAACUGAUAGUAGUCAGCUUGAAAAUUUGCUUGUGGGGCGCACCAAUUUCUCCGGUACAAUACCAACUUCAAUUAGCAAUCUCAAAUGUUUGAAGAAACUAGGGCUUGAUGUGAUAGGUUUUGCUGGAGAGCUGCCCUCAUCAAUUGGUAGGCUUAGAUCCUUGAAUUCAUUGCAGCUCUCUGGGUUAGAACUAGUAGGAUCUGUACCAUCAUGGAUCACAAACUUAACAUCCCUGGAGGUUCUAGAAGUUUCCCACUGUGGCUUAAAUGGACCAAUACCUUCUUCCAUUGGUGAGUUGAACAAACUGAGGAAACUGGCACUAUAUAAGUGCAAUUUUUCAGGAAAAAUACCUUCAGGUAUAUUGAACUUAACUCAACUAGAUACUCUCCAACUUCAUUCAAACAAUCUCAUUGGCACAAUGCAACUUAACUCGUUAUGGAAACUGCAAAACCUAUCUGAUUUGAAUCUCUCAAACAACAAACUGAAUGUAAUAGACCAAGAAGAUAAUUCUUCAUUGACAUCCUUCCCCAAUAUUGUCUAUCUAGGUUUAGCAUCAUGUAACAUAAAAAAAUUCCCAAACAUUCUGAGACACUCAAAUGGGAUAUGUGGAGUUGAUCUAUCAAGUAACAUGAUUCAUGGGGCCAUACCCCAGUGGGUUUGGGAGAAAUUGACAGACCAUGACCUUUUCUUUUUGAACUUAUCGCACAAUGAAUUUACUACCAUUGGGUAUGACACCUUCCGUCCUUUUUCUGCAUCGAUAUUUGACCUCAGUUUUAACAUGUUUGAGGGUCCAAUACCUAUACCCCAACACUCUGAGGUCCUUGAUUACUCAAGGAACCAUUUCUCAUCCAUGCCUCUUAAUAUUUCUACGCAACUCGAUGGAACUUACUACUUCAAGGCAUCAAGAAACCACCUCUCAGGGAACAUCCCACCAUAUUUUUGUAACACAUGGCUAGAAAUUCUUGACCUUUCUUACAAUAACCUCAAUGGUUCUAUCCCGUCAUGCCUAAUGGAGGAUGCAAAUGCAUUGCAAGUUCUGAAUCUAAAAGAAAAUCAACUUUAUGGAGAGUUACCACAUAAUAUCAAUGAAAGUUGCAUGUUUGAGGUACUAGACUUCAGUGGCAACCGGAUUGAAGGACAGUUACCUAGAUCUCUAACUUCUUGCCAAUACUUGGAGGUCCUCGAUAUUGGAAACAAUCAAGUUAGUGAUUCUUUCCCAUGUUGGAUGAUGGCACUAUCCAGACUUCAAGUCCUUGUACUAAAUUCUAACAAGUUAUUUGGACAACUAUCACCUUCUACCGGCGAUGAGAAAAACACUUGUGAGUUUCGAAGUCUGCGGAUCCUUGAUCUGGCCUCCAACAAUUUAUCAGGGACACUCACAGGAGAUUGGUUUAUUAGAUUGAAGUCCAUGAAGGUUGAAGCUGCAAAAGAAACAUCAAUCAUGGAAUAUAACGGCUAUCAACACCCAGCAUAUCAAGUUAACACCGUGCUCACAUACAAAGGGUCUUACAUGUUCUUUUCCAAAAUAUUAACAACCCUUGUAUUCAUUGAUGUCUCAAACAAUGCAAUGCAUGGUAGCAUCCCUGGAGCUAUUGGAGAACUUUAUUUGCUGCAAGCGCUCAACAUGUCACACAACUCCUUCACGGGACAGAUUCCAUCUCAGUUCGGUCGUUUGCACCAAGUGGAGUCUUUGGACCUCUCAUCAAAUGAUAUUUCAGGAGAGAUUCCACAGGAGAUAUCAUCUAUCGACUUCCUGACAACACUGAACUUGUCAAACAACAUGUUGGAGGGAAGGAUACCAGAAUCGCUUCAUUUCUCAACAUUCACUAAUAGCUCAUUUAUGGGGAACACUGGGUUAUGUGGGUCCCCACUAUCAAAACAAUGCAGCAAUGAUACAUCACCCAGUUUGGUGUUGCAUACUUCAGACAGGAUAUCAAUAGAUAUUAUACUAUUCCUUUUUGUUGGACUGGGAUUUGGCGUGGCAUUCGCAGUUGUCAUUGUUGUCAUAUGGGUGCACCCCUUUAGAAAGAAAACAUAA
rnacentral:rRNA from 1 species